UACGUGAAACUGAGCUGGUAAAAGCGGACAGACUCGAAAAGUGCGAACAGAGCUGAUUCACGCCGACCCUGUAGGCCACUGUGGUGUAGAGAUACGUUUCCCUCGGGAAUAGGCACUCUGCGCUGCUUUGCGUCGAAAGGGGAGGCUGCACUUCUACUUAGUAGCACGUCGCGGCUCGUUGAGUCGUCGUUCUAAGGCCCGCGAUGGAGCCCUCGCCUUGUGCGUUGACUCGUGGUGUCCCGAUCGGCGCUCGACGGUGCUUGUACGGACGGAACCUCCAAUGAGAGUCUGUGUCCCGUUAAAAGGGGGCAAACGGACUUGGUUCCGUCGGUCCGCGGCGCUUCUGCUUUCGACAUCUGUCCGUCCCGUCUUGAAACACGGACCAAGGAGUCUAACAUGUGCGCGAGUCAUUGGGCUCGCGAAACCUAAAGGCGAAAUGAAAGUAAAGGCUGGUGCAAACCGGUUUAGGGGUGAUGGUCGCGCUUCCAUGCCGGCCCGCAACCCCGGGGCGUCACAUUCUCUUGAGAAGUGGCGUACCUUGAGCGCACACGUUGGUACCCGAAAGAUGAUGAACUAUGCCUGGCCAGGGUGAAGUCAGGGGAAACCCUGAUGGAAGCCCGUAGCGAUUCUGACGUGCAAAUCGAUCGUCAGAGCUGGGUAUAGGGGCGAAAGACUAAUCGAAUCAUC
rnacentral:rRNA from 3 species